rnacentral:rRNA from 1 species
UACGGGGGGGCAAGCGUUGUUCGGAAUUACUGGGCGUAAAGGGCUCGUAGGCGGCCAACUAAGUCAGACGUGAAAUCCCUCGGCUUAACCGGGGAACUGCGUCUGAUACUGGAUGGCUUGAGGUUGGGAGAGGGAUGCGGAAUUCCAGGUGUAGCGGUGAAAUGCGUAGAUAUCUGGAGGAACACCGGUGGCGAAGGCGGCAUCCUGGACCAAUUCUGACGCUGAGGAGCGAAAGCCAGGGAGCAACGGG